CAAUUUAAUUCUGGUUGUGGAAGAGAUGUUAAUCAGUGCUACAUAGGUUCUGUUUUGAGGUCAAAACCAAUAGAUUUUUGGUAGUUGAGCCUAGUGGUUGGGUCUUGGUUUUUGAGGUAACUCAGAUUGGGCUGUUUUAAUUGGGGUGGAUAGUUCGCAGUGCCAGCAUCCGCGGUUAUUCUGUUAAUCCCCUCUUCUGUUUGGUUUAAAUGUUUUGUAGGGUAUUCUGACUUUUGGGUAGAAUUCUUGUCUUGUUGAGAUAUGCCUACAUUUCUUGGAGUGUUUUUUUAGGAAAAGGAUUAGAGACCCUUGUACUAGGUGGAGUAUUUUGUGUCCAUGGUGUAAACUAAAAGGAUUUGGCAGCCGACGAGGUUCUUCCGGGGGAGUGUGUGGUUUAAGAGAUAGUCCGCUUAGGAUCUUGCCGCCGCUAUUAGUUAGUGUAUAUCCGGUUUAAGAUUCGUGAUUUGUGUCAUUGAGUGUCAUUUUAUUUUAAUUGAAUCCAGGUCAAUGUGCUGCUUAUGCGGUGGUGCUUAUGCACUACUUUUAAAAGGUUCCUUGGUGUAAUCUGGGGAGGUUUAGGACUCGGAAGUAGGUGGAUUGAGGUUUGUUCUAUCGAAUGUUGGAUUUAGUUGGGGUACAUACCGCCCGUCACCCAGGGUGUUAACUGUGGUAAGUCGUAACAUGGUAAUGUUGGGGGAACCGGACAUUAGUUGGUAUGGCUCGUUUUAGGGCGUGCC
rnacentral:rRNA from 1 species